rnacentral:tRNA from 1 species
GGGCGUGUAGCUCAGUGGGAGAGCACUUCCUUGACAUGGAAGGGGUCGUAGGUUCAAUCCCUGCCACGCCCACCA